AGCACAAGAUGGUCGCGCAAAGCUAGCUUUGUGAGGAAAGUCCUGGCUGGCGCAAGCUGAGAUGCGAUUUACGCAAGGCGUGGAGCCUGCUUGCAGAGAAGGUGCUUGACGCAAGUCAAGGUAGGGAAACCUAACGGCGGGGAAAAUACCCUUUAUUUAGGGGAUGAUUACCCAUAAAGUGCUAUAGUGACGAUGCUGCUUGGUAACGAGCAGAGUGAGACGACGUAAACCCCACCUUGCCAGAAACCCUCUGAGAGGGGAACUUUUCAAGGGGAAAUGAACCUAAGGAAAGCACGAGUCUUCGUGAGAAAGAUGACCAUCCACGACAGAACCAGGCUUAGUGU
rnacentral:RNase_P_RNA from 1 species